rnacentral:rRNA from 1 species
CAGCAGCCGCGGUAAUACGUAGGGUGCGAGCGUUGUCCGGAUUUAUUGGGCGUAAAGGGCUCGUAGGUGGUUGAUCGCGUCGGAAGUGUAAUCUUGGGGCUUAACCCUGAGCGUGCUUUCGAUACGGGUUGACUUGAGGAAGGUAGGGGAGAAUGGAAUUCCUGGUGGAGCGGUGGAAUGCGCAGAUAUCAGGAGGAACACCAGUGGCGAAGGCGGUUCUCUGGGCCUUUCCUGACGCUGAGGAGCGAAAGCGUGGGGAGCGAACAGGCUUAGACACCCUGGUAGUCCACGCUGUAAACGGUGGGUACUAGGUGUGGGGUCCAUUCCACGGGUUCCGUGCCGUAGCUAACGCUUUAAGUACCCCGCCUGGGGAGUACGGCCGCAAGGCUAAAACUCAAAGAAAUUGACGG